rnacentral:rRNA from 1 species
UACGGGGGGGGCAAGCGUUGUUCGGAAUUACUGGGCGUAAAGGGCUUGUAGGUGGCCAACUAAGUCAGACGUGAAAGCCCCCGGCUCAACCGGGGAGGGCGGCUGCAAACUGGGCGUCUUGAGGGGGAUAGAGGAGAGUGGAAUUCCUGGUGUAGCGGUGAAAUGCGUAGAGAUCAGGAGGAACACCCGUGGCGAAGGCGGCUCUCUGGGUCCGCCCUGACGCUGAGGCGCGAAAGCGUGGGGAGCGAACGGG